GAUAAACGCUGGCGGCGUGCUUCAGGCAUGCAAGUCGAACGGAUCACAGGACUUCGGUUCUGUGGUUAGUGGCGGACGGGUGAGUAACACGUAAGUAACCUGCCCAGAAGUGGGGAAUAACUGGCCGAAAGGCUGGCUAAUACCGCAUGUGAUGGUUCUUCCCUGGAGGGAUCAUUAAAGGCUUCGGUCGCUUCUGGAGGGGCUUGCGGCUGAUUAGCUUGUUGGUGGGGAACGGCCUACCAAGGCAACGAUCGGUAGCUGGUCUGAGAGGACGGACAGCCACACGGGGACUGAGAUAC
rnacentral:rRNA from 1 species